rnacentral:rRNA from 1 species
AUGGCGACGGCGGCUACGAGUCGGCCCAACGGGCCUGUGCUCUCGACACGCAACUGCCCCUCUGCCUCACCCACCCCCGUCAAGCUCGCCGGUGGCGACGCCACCCACUCGACCGGCAAGUCCGUCAGCGGCUCGUCCCCAUCCUCCACUAGGAGCCGGCAGUCCUGCACGUGCUCCUCGACGAAGACGAACCGCCCGGGCUCGUUCCGGUGCAGCAUCCACAAGGCGCGCAAGCAGGCGGCCCCGGCCGGCAGCAGCAAGCCCGCCUCCCCGUCUUCCAUCCGCGGUCUGGGAAAUUAG